CUGGUGCCAGCAGCCGCGGUAAUUCCAGCUCCAAUAGCGUAUAUUAAACUUGUUGCAGUUAAAAAGCUCGUAGUUGAAUUUUAGCGUGUUCGAGUUUGCCAUUCGUUUGGCUUUUUCGAGUUCGCUUUUGGGUUUUCCCUUUUUACUUUGAGAAAAUUAGAGUGUUUCAAGCAGACUUUUGUCUUGAAUACUUCAGCAUGGAAUAAUAGAGUAGGACUUUGGUUCUAUUUUGUUGGUUAUUGAACCUUAGUAAUGGUUAAUAGGAACGGUUGGGGGCA
rnacentral:rRNA from 1 species